rnacentral:rRNA from 1 species
AACGGUGAACACGGAGCUUGCUCUGUGGGAUCAGUGGCGAACGGGUGAGUAACACGUGAGCAACCUGCCCCUGACUCUGGGAUAAGCGCUGGAAACGGCGUCUAAUACUGGAUACGAGUAGCGGCCGCAUGGUCAGUUACUGGAAAGAUUUUUUGGUUGGGGAUGGGCUCGCGGCCUAUCAGCUUGUUGGUGAGGUAAUGGCUCACCAAGGCGUCGACGGGUAGCCGGCCUGAGAGGGUGACCGGCCACACUGGGACUGAGACACGGCCCAGACUCCUACGGGAGGCAGCAGUGGGGAAUAUUGCACAAUGGGCGAAAGCCUGAUGCAGCAACGCCGCGUGAGGGAUGACGGCCUUCGGGUUGUAAACCUCUUUUAGCAGGGAAGAAGCGAAAGUGACGGUACCUGCAGAAAAAGCGCCGGCUAACUACGUGCCAGCAGCCGCGGUAAUACGUAGGGCGCAAGCGUUAUCCGGAAUUAUUGGGCGUAAAGAGCUCGUAGGCGGUUUGUCGCGUCUGCUGUGAAAUCCCGAGGCUCAACCUCGGGCCUGCAGUGGGUACGGGCAGACUAGAGUGCGGUAGGGGAGAUUGGAAUUCCUGGUGUAGCGGUGGAAUGCGCAGAUAUCAGGAGGAACACCGAUGGCGAAGGCAGAUCUCUGGGCCGUAACUGACGCUGAGGAGCGAAAGGGUGGGGAGCAAACAGGCUUAGAUACCCUGGUAGUCCACCCCGUAAACGUUGGGAACUAGUUGUGGGGUCCAUUCC